rnacentral:rRNA from 1 species
GAUGAACGCUGGCGGCGUGCCUAACACAUGCAAGUCGAGCGAAGCGCUUAAAUUAGAUUUCUUCGGAAUGACGAUUUUUGUGACUGAGCGGCGGACGGGUGAGUAACGCGUGGGUAACCUGCCUCAUACAGGGUGAUAACAGUUAGAAAUGACUGCUAAUACCGCAUAAGACCCCAGCUUCGCAUGAAGCGGUGGGAAAAACUCCGGUGGUAUGAGAUGGACCCGCUUCUGAUUAGCUAGGUGGUAAGGUAACGGCUUACCAAGGCGACGAUCAGUAGCCGAGCUGAGAAGCUGCCCCGCCACAUUGGGACUGAGACACGGACCAGACUCCUACGGGAGGGAGCAGUGGGGAAUACUGCACAAUGGGGGAAACCCUGACGACGCCACGCCGCGUGAAGGAUGAAGUAUUUCGGUAAGCAAACUUCUAUCAGCAGAGAAGAAAGUGACGGUAACUGACAAAGAAGCCCCGGCUAACUACGUG